AAGACCUUGCGCUUUUGGAGCGGCCGAUGCCUGAUUAGCUUGUUGGUAAGGUAAAGGCUUACCAAGGCUUCGAUCAGUAGCUGGUCUGAGAGGACGACCAGCCACACUGGGACUGAGACACGGCCCAGACUCCUACGGGAGGCAGCAGUGGGGAAUUUUGGACAAUGGGGGCAACCCUGAUCCAGCCAUGCCGCGUGAGUGAAGAAGGCCUUCGGGUUGUAAAGCUCUUUCAGCCGGAACGAAACGGUUACGGAUAACACCCGUGACUACUGACGGUACCGGAAGAAGAAGCACCGGCUAACUACGUGCCAGCAGCCGCGGUAAUACGUAGGGUGCGAGCGUUAAUCGGAAUUACUGGGCGUAAAGCGUGCGCAGGUGGUUUUGUAAGUCAGAUGUGAAAGCCCCGGGCUCAACCUGGGAACU
rnacentral:rRNA from 1 species